rnacentral:rRNA from 1 species
UACGUAGGGGGGCUAGCGUUGUCCGGAUUUAUUGGGCGUAAAGAGCGUGUAGGCGGCCUGGUAGGUCUGCUGUGAAAACUCGAGGCUCAACCUCGAGAUGUCGGCGGAAACCAUCUGGCUAGAGUCCGGAAGAGGAGAGUGGAAUUCCUGGUGUAGCGGUGAAAUGCGCAGAUAUCAGGAAGAACACCUAUGGCGAAGGCAGCUCUCUGGGACGGUACUGACGCUGAGACGCGAAAGCGUGGGGAGCGAACAGG